rnacentral:rRNA from 1 species
UACGUAGGGCGCAAGCGUUGUCCGGAAUUAUUGGGCGUAAAGAGCUCGUAGGCGGUUUGUCACGUCGGGUGUGAAAGCCCGGGGCUUAACCCCGGGUCUGCAUUCGAUACGGGCUAGCUAGAGUGUGGUAGGGGAGAUCGGAAUUCCUGGUGUAGCGGUGAAAUGCGCAGAUAUCAGGAGGAACACCGGUGGCGAAGGCGGAUCUCUGGGCCAUUACUGACGCUGAGGAGCGAAAGCGUGGGGAGCGAACAGG